rnacentral:hammerhead_ribozyme from 1 species
AUUCAGAUGACGUGUCCUAAAUAGGAAGAAACGUACGUCAAACUGGAU